GUACAGCUGAUGCAGUGGUCAGAGUGCUGGACUAAGGCUCUAGGAGACCAAGGUUCAAAUCCCUGCUUGGUCA